rnacentral:rRNA from 1 species
CAAUAGCGUAUACUAAAGUUGUUGCGAUUAAAAAGCUCGUAGUUGGAUCUCAGGCAUGGGCGCACGGUCCGCCUCGCGGCGGUCACUGUGUGUUUUGUUUCCCAUCCUACGCUUCCCGGUUCUCAGCCCAUGGUGCUCUUCACUGAGCGUUUUGGGUGGCCGGAACGUUUACUUUGAAGAAAUUAGAGUGUUCAAAGCAGGCACGUCGCCUGAAUAAUGGUGCAUGGAAUAAUGGAAUAGGACCUCGGUUCUAUUUUGCUGGUUUUCGGAACACGAGGUAAUGAUUAAGAGGGACAGACGGGGGCAUCCGUAUUGCGGUGUUAGAGGUGAAAUUCUUGGAUCAUCGCAAGACGAACAACUGCGAAAGCAUUUGCCAAGCAUGUUUUCAUUAG